rnacentral:rRNA from 1 species
AGAGUUUGAUCAUGGCUCAGAAUGAACGCUNGCGGCGUGCUUAACACAUGCAANUCGCACGAGAACACCUCAGCUUGCUGGGGUAAGUAAAGUGGCGCACGGGUGAGUAACGUGUGGGUAAUCUGCCCCUGAAUCUGGGAUAACGCUGCGAAAGCGGUGCUAAUACCGGAUGACAUCGAAUUGACUUCGGUUGAUUGGAUCAAAGGUAGCCACUCCAUGGAAGCUACUGUUUGGGGAUGAGCCCGCGUACCAUUAGCUUGUUGGUAGGGUAACGGCCUACCAAGGCGACGAUGGUUAGCUGGUCUGAGAGGAUGAUCAGCCACACUGGAACUGGAACACGGUCCAGACUCCUACGGGAGGCAGCAGUGAGGAAUUUUGCGCAAUGAGGGAAACCUUGACGCAGCAACGCCGCGUGAGUGAUGAAGGCUUUCGGGUCGUAAAGCUCUGUCAAGUGGGAAGAAAUCCCGGGAAGUGAACAGUUUUUCGGGUUGACGGUACCACUGAAGGAAGCACCGGCUAACUCCGUGCCAGCAGCCGCGGUAAUACGGAGGGUGCGAGCGUUAUUCGGAAUUACUGGGCGUAAAGGGCGCGCAGGCGGGUCAUGUAAGUCAGAUGUGAAAGCCCGGGGCUUAACCCUGGAAGUGCAUUUGAAACU